UACAGAGACUGCAAGCGUUGCUCGGAAUCACUGGGCGUAAAGGGUGCGUAGGCGGGUUUUUAAGUCAGGGGUGAAAUCCUGGAGCUCAACUCCAGAACUGCCUUUGAUACUGAAGAUCUUGAGUUCGGGAGAGGUGAGUGGAACUGCGAGUGUAGAGGUGAAAUUCGUAGAUAUUCGCAAGAACACCAGUGGCGAAGGCGGCUCACUGGCCCGGUACUGACGCUGAGGUGCGAAAGCGUGGGGAGCAAACAGG
rnacentral:rRNA from 1 species